rnacentral:rRNA from 1 species
GGUGAGUAACGCGUAUGCGACCUGCCCGUCCCUGGGGGAUAAUCCGGAGAAAUCCGGUCUAAUACCGCAUAAUAUCGUGAAUCUGCAUGGAUUUGCGAUUAAAGGAGCGAUCCGGUGACGGAUGGGCAUGCGUGACAUUAGCUAGUCGGCGGGGUAACGGCCCACCGAGGCGACGAUGUCUAGGGGUUCUGAGAGGAAGGUCCCCCACACUGGUACUGAGACACGGACCAGACUCCUACGGGAGGCAGCAGUGAGGAAUAUUGGUCAAUGGGCUUACGCCUGAACCAGCCAAGUCGCGUGAGGGAAGACUGCCCUAUGGGUUGUAAAUCUCUUUUGUCAGGGAGCAACGCCGGCUACGUGUAGCCGGACUGAGAGUACCUGAAGAAAAAGCAUCGGCUAACUCCGUGCCAGCAGCCGCGGUAAUACGGAGGAUGCGAGCGUUAUCCGGAUUUAUUGGGUUUAAAGGGUGCGUAGGCGGAAUGCCAAGUCAGCGGUAAAAUCGCGGGGCUCAACCUCGCUCCGCCGUUGAAACUGGCGUUCUUGAGUGGGCGAGAAGUAUGCGGAAUGCGUGGUGUAGCGGUGAAAUGCAUAGAUAUCACGCAGAACUCCGAUUGCGAAGGCAGCAUACCGGCGCCCGACUGACGCUGAGGCACGAAAGCGUGGGGAUCGAACAGGAUUAGAUACCCUGGUAGUCCACGCAGUAAACGAUGAAUGCUAGUUGUCCGGUUCUUUGGGACUGGGUGACACAGCGAAAGCGUU